AGACCGAUAGCGAACAAGUAGAGUGAUCGAAAGAUGAAAAGCACUUUGAAAAGAGGGUUAAAUAGCACGUGAAAUUGUUGAAAGGGAAGGAUUUAUGACCAGACUUUUUCUGGGGGGAUCAUCCGGUGUUCUCACCGGUGCACUUCCCCCAGUGGAGGCCAGCAUCGGUUUCUGCCGGGGGACAAAAGCUUCGGGAAUGUGGCUCCUUCGGGAGUGUUAUAGCCCGUUGCAUAAUACCCUGGCGGGGACCGAGGUUCGCGCAUUGCAAGGAUGCUGGCGUAAUGGUUAUUAAUCACCCGUCUUGAAACACGGACCAAG
rnacentral:rRNA from 1 species